rnacentral:rRNA from 1 species
GCAGGAUCCAGAGUACCACGAGACACGAGAAACCUUGUGGGAAGCCGGGGGGACCACCCCCCAAGCCUAAAUACUCCUCGGUGACCGAUAGCGUAUAGUACUGUGAAGGAAAGGUGAAAAGAACCCCGGGAGGGGAGUGAAAAAGAACCUGAAACUCUAUGUUUACAAGCAGUGGAAGCACCGUAUGCGUGCGACCGCGUACUUUUUGUAGAACGGUCCGGCGAGUUAUUCGUAGUGGCAAGGUUAAGUACCAGAAGGUACGAAGCCGAAGGGAAACCAAGUCUGAAUAGGGCGAGCUUAGUCGCUGCGAAUAGACCCGAAACCGGGUGACCUACCCAUGGUCAGGAUGAAGUUACCGUAAAAGGUAAUGGAGGUCCGAACUCACAUCUGUUGAAAAAGGUGGAGAUGAACUGUGGGUAGCGGAGAAAUUCCAAUCGAACCCGGAGAUAGCUGGUUCUCCUCGAAAUAGCUUUAGGGCUAGCGUUGUUAGGAGUCUAAUGGAGGUAAAGCACUGAAUUCCCUAGGGGGCCCACAAGCUUACCGAAGGAUAUCAAACUCAGAAUGCCAUAAAGAUACCAACAGCAGUCAGACUACGAGUGAUAAGACACGUGGUCAAAAGGGAAAGAGCCCAGACCAUCAGCUAAGGUCCCCAAGUGUAUGUUAAGUGGAAAAGGAUGUGAGAUUUCGAAGACAACUAGGAUGUUGGCUUAGAAGCAGCCAUACAUUCAAAGAGUGCGUAAUAGCUCACUAGUCGAGAGAUCUUGCGCCGAAAAUGUCCGGGGCUAAAACAUACCACCGAAGCUAUGGAAUCAUACUAAGUAUGAUUGGUAGAGGAGCGUUGCAUCGGCGCAGAAGCAGUACCGGAAGGAGCUGUGGAGCUUAUGCAAGUGAGAAUGCCGGAAUGAGUAGCGAGAUAGAAGUGAGAAUCUUCUAGGCCGAAUAUCCAAGGUUUCCAGGGUAAAGCUGAUCUGCCCUGGGUAAGUCGGGACCUAAGGCGAGGACGAAAGUCGUAGUCGAUGGACAACUGGUUGAAAUUCCAGUACCACCUAUUAUCAGAACUGCAGGGACGCAGAAGGAUAGGGAAGGCGCAGAAUGGAAAGCUGCGUGCAAGCACAAAGUCGCAUCUGGUAGGCAAAUCCGCCAGACGAGGAUGAAGUGUGAUGCGGAUCGAAAUAGAAGUAGAGAAGUUCCUGAAUCCACACUGCCGAGAAAAGCUGCUAUUGCGUGAUAGGUGCCCGUACCGUAAACCGACACAGGUGGAUGAGGAGAGAAUCCUAAGGCCGACGGGAGAAGCGUUGUUAAGGAACUCGGCAAAAUGACCCCGUAACUUAGGGAGAAGGGGUGCCUGCUUAACGGCAGGCCGCAGAGAAUAGGCCCAAGCAACUGUUUAACAAAAACACAGGUCUUUGCUAAACCGAAAGGUGAUGUAUAAGGGCUGACGCCUGCCCGGUGCUGGAAGGUUAAGGGGAGAGGUUAGGAGUAAUCCGAAGCUUUGAACUUAAGCCCCAGUAAACGGCGGCCGUAACUAUAACGGUCCUAAGGUAGCGAAAUUCCUUGUCAGGUAAGUUCUGACCCGCACGAAAGGCGUAAUGAUUUGGGCACUGUCUCGACAGCGCACCCGGUGAAAUUGUAGUACCAGUGAAGAUGCUGGUUACCCGCGACAGGACGGAAAGACCCCGUGGAGCUUUACUGUAACUUGAUACUGAGGUUGGGUAUUACAUGUACAGGAUAGGAGGGAGGCUAAGAAGCCAGGACGCCAGUCUUGGUGGAGCCACCGGUGGGAUACCUCUCUUGUAAUACUUAACUUCUAACCAGAGCCCGUUACCCGGGUUUGGGACAAUGUCAGGUGGACAGUUUGACUGGGGCGGUCGCCUCCGAAAGAGUAACGGAGGCGCUCAAAGGUAACCUCAGAAUGGUCGGAAACCAUUCGAAGAGUGCAAAGGCAGAAGGUUGCUUGACUGCGACACCGACGGGUGGAGCAGGUACGAAAGUAGGACUUAGUGAUCCGGUGGUAUGAAAGUGGGAUUGCCAUCGCUCAACGGAUAAAAGCUACCCCGGGGAUAACAGGCUUAUCUCCCCCAAGAGUUCACAUCGACGGGGAGGUUUGGCACCUCGAUGUCGGCUCAUCGCAUC